GUACGGGAGGCAGCAGUGAGGAAUUUUCGUCAAUGGGGGAAACCCUGAACGAGCAACGCCGCGUGGGCGAAGAAGUCCUUCGGGAUGUAAAGCCCUUUUCCCUGUGAAGAAAGAAAGACGGUAGCAGGGGAAUAAGCAUCGGCUAACUACGUGCCAGCAGCCGCGGUAAUACGUAGGAUGCAAGCGUUGUCCGGAAUUAUUGGGCGUAAAGAGCGCGCAGGCGGUUUGACAAGUCAGAUGUGAAAGAGGCCGGCUUAACCGGCAAGGGUCAUUUGAAACUGUCAGACUAGAGUGCAGCAGAGGAUAGUGGAAUUCCCGGUGUAGUGGUGAAAUGCGUAGAUAUCGGGAGGAACACCAGUGGCGAAGGCGACUAUCUGGGCUGCAACUGACGCUGAGGCGCGAAGGCUAGGGUAGCAAACAGGAUUAGAAACCCUAGUAGUCC
rnacentral:rRNA from 1 species